UUUAUGGUGUAAUGGUAGCACGCUGGACUCUGAAUCCAUAAAUGCGAGUUCGACUCUCGCUAA
rnacentral:tRNA from 1 species